rnacentral:rRNA from 1 species
CCUACGGGUGGCAGCAGUGGGGGAUAUUGCACAAUGGGGGAAACCCUGAUGCAGCGACGCCGCGUGGGCGAAGAAGUAUUUCGGUAUGUAAAGCCCUAUCAGCAGGGAAGAAGAAAUGACGGUACCUGAGUAAGAAGCACCGGCUAAAUACGUGCCAGCAGCUGCGGUAAUACGCAGGGUGCAAGUGUUAUCCGGAUUUACUGGGUGUAAAGGGAGCGUAGGCGGGACGGCAAGCCUGAUGUGAAAGCCCGCGGCCCAACCGCGGGGCAGCAGUGGGAACUAGCGGGCUGGAGUGCCGGAGAGGUAGGCGGAAUGCGUAGUGUAGCGGUGAAAUGCGUAGAUAUUAGGCGGAACACCAGUGGCGAAGGCGGCCUACUGGACGGGGACUGACGCUGAGGCACGAAAGCGUGGGGAGCGAACAGGAUUAGAUACCCGGGUAGUC